rnacentral:tRNA from 1 species
GCGGAGGUGGUGGAACGGCAGACACGCAUGCUUCAGGCGCAUGUGCCCAUCGGGUGUGAGGGUUCAAAUCCCUUCCUCCGCAUCA